AAUAAAUCAAGUGAGUUUUUGUGAUCCCUAUAAGCAAAAACAUACUUCAGUUAUGAUGGAUUGUGUUAGAGAGUAAAUUAGAUUGCAUGGAGGCUAAGUACUAAUGUUGAUAUUUACAGUGCUUAAAUAUAUUGUCUGCCUCCUCUAAAUGCAGCUCAUUCAUUGGCUUUAUGUUGUGGAGGAAAUAUCAGAAUAAUGACCUGGGUUUUUUUUUUCUGUCUUUAUAGUUUAAUAUCAUGCAACUGUUUAUUAAUAAGCUCCAAACCCCAAAGGAUCCU
rnacentral:lncRNA from 1 species